GGAAGCGCAUCUUUUGAGUUUCAAUGAAACCUAUCUCCUUCUCGCUGCUUCCCUUUUGUUGCUGGUGUUCCCCUCUCUUCUUGCUGCUCCCGCGCGCUACUCUUCUUCUCCAUCUUCUCUGCUCUGCCCACUCUUCACUUGGUCUUCAAUUCACAGUUAAACACUCGCACCAGUCUCGCAAUCAUCUCCACUGCACCGGCGACGACCCCGACAAUGACUUCAAUUGAGUUCAAUUUGGGGGUUUUCUUGUAUUGCAGUGCAGAAUAUUGCAGCACAGGAAAAAAGUUGAGUGUGGGAGUGAUCUCACCAUACAUGGAUCAAGUUGGUUUGAUUCAAGAAAGAAUUGGUAGCCAAAGUGUGAAUUACAUACAAGGAUAUUGGUUUCUCAGUGAGUGUUCGUUCUGUUGAUGGAUUUCAAGAAAGGGGAGGAGGAUAUAAUUAUAAUCUCAUGUGUUCGAAGCAAUGGUAACGGAUCAGUUGACUUCCUAUCCAAUCAUCAAUGGACAAAUGUAGCCCUAACGGGAGCAUGGGAAUGGUACCACAUUAAUCAAAAGUGGAUCUAUGUGGAAGGAGCUUGUGACCGAUGCAAAAAUACGAAGGUGUUUCUACAGUGCAGAUGAGGAUAAAUAUCUUGAAUUCUUGAUAGAGCAAUGACAGCAGUAGUGCCCGAGACUGAAGUCGAUCUUGCAGAGUCUUUGUCAAGAAAGUGGAAACAUUGCUAUUGUUAAAUAUAGCCCCCUUUACAUAGAGUUAUAUACAAAUAAUAUUGGAGAGCUUACCAUCUUUGGAAAUAAAUUCCAGUGGAGUCCACACUCAGCAAGCUGCAAGAUUGCAAGAGCUUGUGGAACUUAUUCAGUCUCAGGUUUUCAAAACUCCAGGGGAGGAGCCCUUUACCAAAAAGGAGUUGGAUGAGGUUCGAGACAAGUGGGCUAUUUACUUCAACGAUUGUGAACUACCCUCAGUGUAAUAAAUAGAGCAGAUUUGUAGUUAUUCGUGACUCUUACAUUAUUUUAUUAUUUAUCGAUUUAAUUAAUUACAUUUGAAUUAAUUCGGUAAUAUUAUUGGAAAUUUGAAAUUUAUAUCAUUUUUGAGAA